rnacentral:rRNA from 1 species
GAUUUCUGGUUCGGCGCACUUGGCCCGCUCCGGUUUACGGGGUUGUGUGCCGGUGUGCGCCAUCCAUCCUUCGAGUGAACAGCUCUGCCCUUCACUGGGUUGGGGUUGCUAUCUCGAUCUUUUACUUUGAAAAAAUUAGAGUGUUUAAAGCAGGCUUGCGCUAUGAAUACAUUAGCAUGGAAUAAUAAUUUAGGACUUUGGUCUUAUUUUGUUGGUUUCUAGGACUAAAGUAAUGAUUGAUAGGGAUAGUUGGGGGUGCUAGUAUUCAGCGGCCAGAGGUGAAAUUCUCGGAUUCGCUGAAGACUAACUUAUGCGAAAGCAUU